GGCUCAUUAAGUGUUGAAAAGGAUGUAGCUGUCAUUGACCUUGUGACAAAGUCAUCAUUGCUCAAACACAUGGCAUUUUCUGCAUCUAAGACCUAGGGAACUUUAUAUUAGCCCAGUUCAAAAAACUUUCCCAUGGGCAUGCAGAAACACCAGACACUAAGGGAAAUUCACCCACAAAGAGCAGACAUCUGUAAACUAUACUACUUAGUCAGUCCUCAUGUGGCUUUACCUUUGUCUUUCUCUUUGCCUCUUCCAUGGACCAUCAGCAUUGUAAAUAGCAAUGCAGUGGGUAAACCUAUAAACACUAGCCUAGAGAUUCCACCUCUCUAAGCUCACUUUGCAAGCAGGCUUAGGCCAGGAGAGAAGUUGUGGCUAAUAGUAUGCCAGGAAAUGCAAUAACUGCUGGCUGUUGUCAGUAGUUGCUGCUCACUGGGCCCACAGGCUCUUGAGCUUCCUUUGUGUGGUAACAGGUGAUAAAGACUGAAAAGACUAAAUGGGGCCAGAUUGAAUAGGGCCUCGGAUACCAAGCUAAUCUUUACUAAGAUCAGUGUCCCAGGGUAGGAUUUGGGUAGACAAAAGUAAGAUGAACUUCAUUGUGAGUUAUGGAGAGGUAAUGCAUUUAGGGAAUAACAUCAUAAACUACUAAUUAUAGGAUAAUGAACUCCUAGCAAUCAGUUAUAACAAAGAAAAGGAGUCAUUUUAGACCUAUUAUCUGAUGAAAAUAGCAGAAAGCUAGAGAAAUUUAUCUAGAGAAAUGCAAACCAAAACAAUUCCAAGAUAUCAUCUCACAACCAUCAGAUUGGCUGAAAUGAUGAAAGGGCAAAAUGAAAAAUUUUGGAGGGGAUAUGGGAAAAUGGAAACACAAAUAUACUGUUGGGGAAGCUGCGAACUAAUCCAACCAUUUUGGAGAGCAAUUUAGUAUUACACGUAGAGUUUUAUAAAAAUAUGUAGACUUAAAUCUAGUGAUCUGAUUGCUAGGUCUAUUUCAAGAUAAUGAGGGGAAAAGGAAAAGAAUGAACAAAAAAGAAAAUAUUUAUGGCAACUGUGUCUCUAGUAGCAAAGAACUAGAAAUUGAAGGGAUGCCCAUCAACUGGGGAAUGGCUAAACCAGUUGGCAUGUGAUUUUGAUGGAGUACUUCCAUGCUAUAAGAAAUGAUGAACAGGCUAAUUUUUUUAAAAACUUGGAAAGAACUACAAGGGAUAAUGAACAAUGAAAUGAGUAGAACCAAGAGAACAUCAUACACAGCUAUAGAUUUAAUGCUUGAAGAAUAAAUUGUGAAUGCUACCUCCAGAGAAUGAACUGAAAAAUGAGUUAUCUGUCACCUCGAGGAUACCUUCUAUGAUGUGGGAAGGGGAGAGAGGGGUUGAGACACUUAUAAAUAAAAUUCUAUGAAAAAAGAAUAAGAAUACUUAAAAAAUAGAUUUUUAAGAUUUAUAAUGUACUUAAUUCACAAAAAGUAGAAAGUGUAUUUUUAUUCUCCAGUUUACACAUAGCCAAGCAUUUCAGACUUUGGACUUACUUAGAUUGGGUCCACUUGAGGGUAGCUUAAAGUGCACCUUUCUUUGACUCAUGUUGUUUCUACCCAGAAUUCUCUUUGAGAAACCUCUGACUUUAUCCUGUAUAAUUCAUGUCUAGGUCUUCACAGGUGGGAGUCAAAGAGUUUCCAUAUUGUAUACAAGUAUUCCAAGUAAUAAUAAAAAUUGGGUAUAACAGUCUUUUUUCCACCCCACAAAAAAUGCAAAAAAUGACAUAUAGAGUUCACAGCAAGCCAUUUAUAGUUCAUAUGAUUUCCUUUCCUUUUCAAGUGAGUCUCACCUUUCCCUCCAGGACCUAUGAAGUUCUUCAGGUUCAUAGCAUCACCUGGUGGUUUGAACUCCACCAAAAGGAAAUGCAUUGGAGAUUUCUAGAGGCUCUGUUCAAGAUGAACUGAACUGCUCUCUAAGGCAGAAGGAUCUGGGCCAAUGUGGGUCAGCAAGAAGCAUUAUGGUCAAAGGACAAAAGCUGUCAAUCCUGAACAAAUGUUACAACAUGAGACUUACAGGAAACCUGACAUUUCAGGUGACACAGGACCAUCAGAAGGCCAUUUCUCUCUUUCCAGUAACAUCUGCUGGGAAACAGAAGCACUGUUCAUCUUCAGAGGUAACACUAUAUCUUGAAUGUCAGGCUGGGAAAUGGUCACACACAUCUAAU